rnacentral:rRNA from 1 species
UCGAGAAUCUUCCGCAAUGGACGAAAGUCUGACGGAGCGACGCCGCGUGGAGGAUGAAGGCCUUCGGGUUGUAAACUCCUGUCACGAGUUAAGAACGGUUCACGGCGAACAGUCGUGAGCUUUGACGUAAGCUCGAGAGGAAGCACUGGCUAACUCUGUGCCAGCAGCCGCGGUAAUACAGAGAGUGCAAACGUUGUUCGGAAUCACUGGGCUUAAAGCGCGCGUAGGCGGCAUUGUAAGUGUCGGGUGAAAGCCCACGGCUCACCCGUGGAACUGCCCGGCAGACUGCAGUGCUAGAGUGUGGUAGGGGAGAGCGGAACUCCUGGUGGAGCGGUGAAAUGCGUAGAUAUCAGGAGGAACACCGGUGGCGAAGGCGGCUCUCUGGUCCAUAACUGACGCUGAGGUGCGAAAGCUAGGGUAGCGAACGGGAUUAGAUACCCCGGUAGUCCUAGCCGUAAACGAUGGGUACUAGCUUGGGGUCUCCCUGUGUGAUCCCAGGUGAAGCUAAAGUAAUAAGUACCCCGCCUGGGGAGUAUGGUCGCAAGGCUG